rnacentral:rRNA from 1 species
AACGAACGCUGGCGGCAUGCCUAACACAUGCAAGUCGAACGAGACCUUCGGGUCUAGUGGCGCACGGGUGCGUAACGCGUGGGAAUCUGCCCUUGGGUUCGGAAUAACAGUUGGAAACGACUGCUAAUACCGGAUGAUGACGUAAGUCCAAAGAUUUAUCGCCCAGGGAUGAGCCCGCGUAGGAUUAGCUAGUUGGUGGGGUAAAGGCCUACCAAGGCGACGAUCCUUAGCUGGUCUGAGAGGAUGAUCAGCCACACUGGGACUGAGACACGGCCCAGACUCCUACGGGAGGCAGCAGUGGGGAAUAUUGGACAAUGGGCGAAAGCCUGAUCCAGCAAUGCCGCGUGAGUGAUGAAGGCCUUAGGGUUGUAAAGCUCUUUUACCCGGGAUGAUAAUGACAGUACCGGGAGAAUAAGCCCCGGCUAACUCCGU